CGCGCCGCGCUGCCUCGCGCCGGGCGGGUGUUGACGCAGCAGAAAUUACCAGCUGGAAAAUUCCCCUUUUGGAGGGCGGCUCCGGAGCUGUCCGGAUGGUGCUGAGCUUUCAGGCCGCUUAUCAAUGCUCACAUAUUGUGAUUGCGGCCCAGCCUAGGGAAACACACAGGUAACGGACCAGCCCUGGGUUGGGCUAUCUGCCCUCGGCGGCCUCGCUGUGAUAACGGCGUGCCAGAGGUCUGAAAGUGCCGUCUGUGGUUUCCUUCCCUCAUCCGACGCGCUCGGCUGCCGCUCGCCCCGCCAGGUGCCUUCAUCUCAGAGCUGUGCUUUCUGCUUUUUUAUCUGCCAUUUAAACAAGCAGAUGUCCUGGCACGUGUUUCCCUCCCCCCGUUUCAUCCCACGUACCCUCAGUACCUUGAAUUCAGAAAAGAGCGCGAAUAAACCCAAUUAAUAGAAAACGAAACGUCUUUCAACUCGGGCGUGUUUUUAAUUACCUCUUUAUUUUACAUUGCAACAGAGUCCAAACAGCACCUUCCUAGAAAGAGUUCCAUUAAAAUGCAAAUGAACAGUUUGCAGAACUUGGCUGUUCCUACGACGCAGGACAGUUUUUAGCCUUACGAAAUGCUGAACGCAGCGCAGCUCCCCGCUGCCACCUGCCCUUCCUGCACGCCCGGCCACGUCACAGCGCAUUUCCCAGCUCUGUCACCAACAGGUAGCACACGUGGUGACGCACUGAGCAGGCUGCCCAAGGAGGCUGUGGAUGCCCCAUCCCUGGAGGCAUUCAAGGCCAGGCUGGAUGUGGCUCUGGGCAGCCUGGUCUGCUGGUUGGCGACCUUGCACGUAGCAGGGGGUUGAAACUACGUGACCAUUGUGGUCCUUUUCAACCCAGGCCAUUCUAUGAUUCUAUGAAAUCCCUUUUCCAGCUCAAGGUGUUUGGUGGCAGAAGCUGCCCGUGGAGCCUGGAACUCCUCAGCACACGGGGCUUUGGUCUCAGGGAGGUUUUGUCCCCUUCUGCUGAUCACACAUAGCUCCCUCCCCUCCUUAAUUAGAAGUUUGUAUUGUGUUUUAGGUAAAUACUGCAAUUACUCUGUCCUUAGAAAUGAUGUGAUUUCUCCUCAUAAAUAGAACACUCAUGGAAAUAAACAAAUAGGAAAAAAAAGGCGGGUUGGAGGGGGAAAAAAAAAGUGUAGUUCAUGAGAUUUUGGGUGUGGAAGCCACCAUAAAUAAGACGUGGAAGAAGGGAAAAGCACAGCCAUCUCCCCUCCGGAGGAGUGUCGGGGGGUGCGGACUGUGUGCGCAGAACGAGAUUUUGCAUUCAAUAAACUGAGAUGAUUUCUUGUGUC